AUACUACAAAAUAUUUAUGGAAAUUGCAGGAUACCAUAGAGAGUAGAUAACUUGAGGUAUAUUGAAACCAAACUUAGGAACCAUGUAUACUGUAUAGAUGAUAGAUAUAUCCUCAUCAGAGAAUGUCUAUAUUUCAAAAUUCUGACUUCCUUCUUACAGCAGUUGUUGAUGUUUGGAAAGUUGCUCAAAUAAUUAAUUUAAAAAAAAAUUUUUUACUGAAGCAGUCAGUCAGUAUCUCCUAUGUAGGUACAUAUUAAAGUUGCGAAAAAAAGUUGUGGUGUCUAUUCUUUUUCUUGUCUGCUAAUAGGACUUUUCGAAGAUAGUUCAGGAAUAUAUAAACUGUCAUAAUAAAGCUUCAGAAAAGAAUUUAACCUUAGUUUUUAUAAUUUUGGCACGAGUCUUUUGCAAAACUCUCUAAGAUACAUAUCAGUAUUAGUUAAUGGUAGAUAAUAGGCAACUUGAACUUAAUUUUAAUGAAAAGUUACCAAACCUUACUGUUUUUUAGAUGAAUGGGUAAGCAGAUGUUUUCAUUGUUUAAAAUUUGAAGGCAUUUUAUUCUAGCUCUCUUAGAUCUUAUGCACUUGUGAAUUAAUAACCUAAACUUUCUUCCUAUCUUUUCAUAUGCAGGCAGAAGGAGAAGACAGCCUUAAAAAGAUGCAGCUGAUGGAGCUUGCAAUUCUGAAUGGCACCUACAGAGAUGCCAACAUCAAAUCACUGUUACGUUUUUUCCAGCAAUUCAACUGAUUUCACUCCUGAGUUCACAGGGAUCAGUGAUGUAAUGAGCCAUUUUUACAAUUUCUUCCAUUAGAUUUGCGUGAGAAUGCUUUUGUAAACACAUGUAUGUGCACGUUUACACUUUAAAAUUAAUUAUAUACACCAACUAAUGACAGCAUAUGUAUGUAUAUUAUGUGUGACACAAACUAUUUUCUCUAGUUUAAAAUCUAAUUUCUGCUUCUGAAAACGUAAUUUCUGAUGCUCUUCCAAAGUGAACUUUUGCUGUAGCUACGAUACCGAUAUCAAAUGUAGGGACAGUGAAGUCAGUUUUUUCACUAAGGGCCUACUGAUAUUUGCAAAUUUGUUUCUCCACAUAAACUCCAUUUCAAUGUUGAAUAUGCUUAAAGGUUGGAAUGCAGUUAGGUCAAUUUGAGAGCAUUUACACCAGUGUAAUUAUUCUGAUUGGAAAGGGUACAUAAGCAAGGGCUUUCAACACCACAGUGCUGGUGAUAAUUCUACACCUUCUAAUUAAUACCAUAAUAUCUAAAGCUAGCUCAGUUUUAAACCUGUUAGAGUCCUCAAUUUACUGCAAAUUUAUGAGUAAAAUAACUUUUAGAUUAGUUUAAAUUGGUGCAAAUUGUUGCAUAGAAACCUUUAUAUUAAUUUGAGUAAUUUCUUUGUCUGCUCUAUUCCCAUUGGUCCAUUUUAUGUGUAGUGGGAUGAUGGUUUUUUUUCCAUUUUCUGACUAGAUAUUUCCAUGCUACUAUUCACUCUUUGAUAAUUAAGAUAUUUUCAUUGUUUACAUUAUGACUUUACUGAAAACUUAAUCAUGGUGAUGUAUUUCAGAUGAAAAAAGGAAUUGAAAAUGUUUAAAAAAAUUUUUUAAUUUUUGCAUUGAGCAUUUUUGUUUAAAAGAAAACUAAAAAAAAUCCACAAACUCCACCCUCUCAAAUCUGAAAAUCUUUCCACAUUUCUCAUUUCUUUCUUCAGACCACCUGUAAGUUAAUUACAUUAAUGUAGAUCAGCAACAGUGCACAGAAACUUUUUACAAUGAAUAGUUUAGUUUGUCUAUUACCAGCUGAUCUGUAUUAGUGAUUAAGAAGUAGUUUGUAUUGUUUGCCAGCAGACUUCAAGUAACAAUUAAAGAUGGAAAAAAACAAAACAAAAAAA